rnacentral:rRNA from 1 species
AGUGAACGCUGGCGGUAGGCCUAACACAUGCAAGUCGAACGGCAGCACAGUAAGAGCUUGCUCUUACGGGUGGCGAGUGGCGGACGGGUGGGGAAUACAUCGGAAUCUACUUUUUCGUGGGGGAUAACGUAGGGAAACUUACGCUAAUAUCGCAUACGACCUACGGGUGAAAGCAGGGGAUCUUCGGACCUUGCGCGAUUGAAUGAGCCGAUGUCGGAUUAGCUAGUUGGCGGGGUAAAGGCCCACCAAGGUGACGAUCCGUAGCUGGUCUGAGAGGAUGAUCAGCCACACUGGAACUGAGACACGGUCCAGACUCCUACGGGAGGCAGCAGUGGGGAAUAUUGGACAAUGGGCGCAAGCCUGAUCCAGCCAUACCGCGUGGGUGAAGAAGGCCUUCGGGUUGUAAAGCCCUUUUGUUGGGAAAGAAAAGCAGCAGGUUAAUACCCCGCUGUUCUGACGGUACCCAAAGAAUAAGCACCGGCUAACUUCGUG